rfam:Novosphingobium sp. FSW06-99 genomic scaffold PRJNA299315_s001, whole genome shotgun sequence.
UUUUAUGGUCGGGCGUGUUGCGAGCAUCUUCGGAUGCGCCGUUGCUCCAACGGUACGCCAAUCGCGGCACGUCCGGCCACCCUC